UACAGAGGUGGCAAGCGUUGUUCGGAAUUACUGGGCGUAAAGGGCGCGUAGGCGGCCAUCUAAGUCAGACGUGAAAUCCCCCGGCUUAACCUGGGAACUGCGUCUGAUACUGGAAGGCUUGAGUAUGGGAGAGGGAUGUAGAAUUCCAGGUGUAGCGGUGAAAUGCGUAGAUAUCUGGAGGAAUACCGGUGGCGAAGGCGGCGACCUGGGUAGAUACUGACGCUGAGGCGCGAAAGCGUGGGGAGCAAACAGG
rnacentral:rRNA from 1 species